rnacentral:rRNA from 1 species
UACGUAGGUGGCGAGCGUUGUCCGGAAUUAUUGGGCGUAAAGAGCUCGUAGGCGGUUUGUUGCGUCGGCUGUGAAAUCCCGAGGCUCAACCUCGGGUCUGCAGUCGAUACGAGCAAACUAGAGUGUUGCAGGGGAGACUGGAAUUCCUGGUGUAGCGGUGAAAUGCGCAGAUAUCAGGAGGAACACCGGUGGCGAAGGCGGGUCUCUGGGCAACAACUGACGCUGAGGAGCGAAAGCGUGGGGAGCGAACAGG